rnacentral:rRNA from 1 species
CAAUAGCGUAUAUUUAAGUUGUUGCAGUUAAAAAGCUCGUAGUUGGAUUUCGGAUGGGAUCUGCCGGUCCGCCUUUGAGGUGUGUACUGGUAGGUCCUAUCUUGUUGUCGGGGACCAGCUCCUGGGCUUCACUGUCCGGGACUGGGAGCCGGCGAAGUUACUUUGAGUAAAUUAGAGUGUUCAAAGCAAGCCUACGCUCUGAAUAUAUUAGCAUGGAAUAACACGAUAGGACUCUGGCUUAUCUUGUUGGUCUGUGAGACCAGAGUAAUGAUUAAGAGGGACAGUCGGGGGCAUUCGUAUUCCGUUGUCAGAGGUGAAAUUCUUGGAUUUACGGAAGACGAACAUCUGCGAAAGCAUUUGCCAAGGAUGUUUUCAUUGA